AUACGUAGGUGGCAAGCGUUGUCCGGAAUUAUUGGGCGUAAAGGAUGCGUAGGCGGCCUUUUAAGUGGGAUGUGAAAUACCCGGGCUUAACCCGGGAAUAGCAUUCCAAACUGGAAGGCUAGAGUGCAGGAGAGGAAAGUGGAAUUCCCAGUGUAGCGGUGAAAUGCGUAGAGAUUGGGAGGAACACCAGUGGCGAAGGCGACUUUCUGGACUGUAACUGACGCUGAGGCAUGAAAGCGUGGGGAGCAAACAGGAUUAGAUACCCUGGUAGUCCACGCCGUAAACGAUGAGUACUAGGUGUAGGGGAGCCAUUCUCUGUGCCGCAGUUAACACAUUAAGUACUCCGCCUGGGAAGUACGGUCGCAAGACUAAAACUCAAAUGAAUUGACGGGG
rnacentral:rRNA from 1 species